AUGAAAGAACAACAUGUGUUACGCAACAGUCAGAUUGUGGUUUAUGAGCUGCCAACUCUUAAAGUUUGGGCCUUCACUGAUGAUGAACUGAAGGCUUCCUUCUCCUGCGCUGCCAAAGAUUUUACACCAAAAGAUUUUGAGAUCAAAUGGCUGAAAAAUGACAAGGAAAUCACCAACAAGGUAUAUGAAAUCAAAACACAUACUCCUGAGGAAAGAAAGGAAAAUGGAACUACACUGUAAAGUGCAGCAAGUUUUCUCUCACUGCCAUCCAGUGAGUGGACUGAUAACACCGAGUUGACAUGUAAGUUUAAGGGGAAAGAUGUGGAGGUAAAGAUUGAAGGCCCCACAAUGGAGGAAAUGUUUGCAUCUAGAAAAGGAAAACUAAUAUGCAAUGUCAUGGUAAGAAAACCAUCCAUCGAUAAGAUGUUUUGGGAGAACCAACAUGGGACGAUGAUAAAUGAUACAUGA